rnacentral:rRNA from 1 species
AGAGGUCUCAAGCGUUGUUCGGAUUCAUUGGGCGUAAAGGGUGCGUAGGCGGCGCGGUAAGUCGGGUGUGAAUCUCGGAGCUUAACUUCGAAACUGCAUUCGAUACUGCCGUGCUUGAGGACUGGAGAGGAGACUGGAAUUUACGGUGUAGCGGUGAAAUGCGUAGAUAAUCGUAAGGAAGACCAGUGGCGAAGGCGGGUCUCUGGACAGUUC